rnacentral:rRNA from 1 species
UACAGAGGGUGCAAGCGUUGUUCGGAAUUAUUGGGCGUAAAGCGCGUGUAGGCGGCUUUGCAAGUCGGGUGUGAAAGCCCUCAGCUCAACUGAGGAAGUGCGCCCGAAACUGCAGAGCUUGAGUGCCGGAGAGGGUGGCGGAAUUCCCCAAGUAGAGGUGAAAUUCGUAGAUAUGGGGAGGAACACCGGUGGCGAAGGCGGCCGACC